rnacentral:lncRNA from 1 species
AUCCUGAAGGAAGGCCAGGUAGACCAUAAUGUUUCUCACGGUAAAUAAAUUUUCGACAGUAUCUAACAACUUUCUGUAAGGUCAUUGACAACUUUCUGUAAGAAGGUCAUUGACAACUUUCUGUAAGGAUGUCCUUGACAACUUUCUGUAAGGAGGUCCUUGACAACUUUCAGUAAUAAAGUCCAAUCAUCUAAAUUGUGCAGUCAAUAAUAAGCAAGAAAGAAAUAAGAGUUGGAUGUUGCAAUAGUUUCUCCUGGUUUUCAGUUCCGAACCUUUUACAAGAAACGACUUCACUUCACAAUCACAUGCACACAUCUGCGCAUACUUCACGAUCUACAGAAUUCCACGACAGAGUAACACAAAUAGAUCGGUCGUGACGAGCAAUUCACUAUGCACGCCUGUGGGCAUGUCACGUCAUAUGCCCGUCAGCCACAGUUCUAGACUAAUUAGCCCCUUUGUGAAACUCAGA